AUGAUUCAACAUGAGAUUUUGAGGAGACAACACCCAAACUGUAUCAGACGGAGAUCUUGGGAGCCAGGCACUUGCAUCCACUGCUUUAAAUAAUCUAUUUAAUUGUGGUGGUAUCAUUAUCUAACUUUGCAGACAAGGAACCAAGGCUCAGAGGAGUAAACUAUUUUUAUCCAAGGUUCAAUAUAGAUAGCCAGCCAUGGGAGUCAGAAGUUGAACUCAGAUCUGGUCUGGUUCUGAAGCCUCUCUUCUUUCCAGCUGUGAGACAAAGGAGCAAAUAUGAGAAGCGCCUUUUGCUCACUUCUGCUUGCCAGCAGAAUUUCACAAAAGCCCUGGACUGUGAAGAUGUUUGGAGAGAUGCUUUGAAGACGAAAUCUUUAACAGGGUUAGUGUUUAUACCUCUGUAAUCUACAAGCAGAUGCACUCUUACACCCAAGCCUUGAUGGGAUUCUGCUGCGAUGGAACUUCUGAGCAAAUUUGAUGUGAUUGUGCAGGUACUGAACCUCCACUUCCUGUCUGUAAGCAGUGGGCUGAAAUCCUGGGCUGGAGCGGUCUCAUAGGAUCUCUCUGAAAGGCUGUUCCCAGGCUGUAGGCCUUGGUCUGUAGUCCUCAGUAAGACUUCUGAAUACAACUAGCUUUAAUUCUUUAAAAGCUUGACUGUUUUCUUUAGUCAGCAUGGCAUUCCAUACCAUUGCAGAAACAGAAGCCAGGGGGAUACGUGAAGGAGAGAGCAAUGGCAUAGUGUGUGGAGCUGAUUAGCUAUUAACUAGCAGAGUUGAGAGAAGGCAGCCGGCCAAAUGUCCUGGAGGGGCAAGGAAAAACUUUUUAGAGAGUUGGAAAGUGGCACUCCAGUGAGGUCUGAAGCCAUGAAGGUUGACUUAUUUAUUCCACAGUAGCUAGAAGAAGAGGGGUCUUUCUAGAGAGUGUGACCAGUUUAAGCAAAGGCUUGGGAGGAGGAAUAAAAAUGUGCUGGAAGUGGGAAAAGGGAGCUGGUUAAGGGGCUGAAAGUUAUUCCUUGCGGAUCACCUUCUCAUCACAUGCUCUUUGACCUCACUGUAGUUCAAUGAAGGGAAAGAAAGUCAAAAGCAGGAGGGAAGUUUCUCUCUAAACAGACAGGGGCUCAGCAAACCCAGCCUUCCCCGCAGUCUUACCUGGAGCCAUUGCCUGUGGAAGAGGGUGUUCAGGCCACAGUAUCCCAAGGCUGGGGGCACUUUUGCUCAGAAGCCCCCUGUGGUGCUGCUCCUCAAGAGCCUCCUGGGAGGAAGGGCCAGGGAGCCAGGGAGCCAGGCAGGUCUCCCUUCCCCUUCUGGAAUCCUGGCCAGUUUCCAUGUACAUAACCCAGCUUAAUCCAUAGAAACGGGCUGCAAGGCAUGUUCUUUCUCUUUUUUUCCUCUCCAAGACACGGAAACCUUUAUUUUCUCCCUACACCACAAACCGGUACUGUUAAAUAAUAUUGGAUAAUUGCACCUGUCGUACUCCCCAUAUUGUGCUGAGGAAAAAUAAUUGCUGGUUUUCUGCUUUGCCGUUUAGCUGUGACUCCGUCAUUUGACUCGGAGCAUGUCAUUUUCUCCCAUUUUAGACUAUGUACAGUCAAACCCUGUGAAAGGACUCACAGAUAGCGGCCCUGCGUGUGUGAGUGGGCGCGGGCCUCAUUCAGCAACGAUUUCUAAUUUAUACAGCAUUGAAAAUCCACAGCUAUAAAUAAACAGUUCUGACUGGC